rnacentral:lncRNA from 1 species
GGACGGACGCGUGUUUUUCGUGCCAAAGCCUCUUCCUCUGCAGAUGACGUUGGUGAUUAAUAUCUGUGAGCAGCACUGACCUAUGCCUGAGUGAAGAGACAUAUAAGUAGGUGCAGAUUGGUGUAGGCUUUGUGCUGCCUUAUAACAGUGGCAGUAUAUUUAAAGUGUACAUCAGAUGCCAAGUGUGCAAUAGAUGUGGGCCUGUGGAC